CACCUAUCAGCUAGCCCCUCCAACAACACCAAAAUCCUUUUAUUAAUACCCCUAAAUCAUACAACCCUUAAACAAACAAACCAUUUUUCACCUUAAGUAUAGGCGAUAGAAAAAGAUCUAGGAGCGAUAGAAAAAGUACCGCAAGGGAAUGCUGAAAGAGAAAUGAAAUAACCCAGUUAAGUCCAAAAAAGCAGAGACUAACCCUCGUACCUUUUGCAUCAUGCUUUAGCCAGUACUAAUCAAGCAAAAAGCAUUUUAGUUUGAUUCCCCGAAACUACGUGAGCUACUUCAAGACAGCCUAAAAUAUAGGGCCAACUCGUCUCUGUGGCAAAAGAGUGAGAAGAUCUUCAAGUAGAGGUGAAACAUCUACCGAACUUAGUUAUAGCUGGUUGCUUAGGAACUGGAUAGAAGUUCAGCCUCUUAGCUUCUUUAUUCCCCCCAAUAUUUUAUACAACUAAGAUAAUUAAGAAGCUAAAAGAGUUAGUCAAAAGAGGUUCAGCUCCUUUGAAACAAGACACAACUUUUCCAGGAGGGAAAAGAUCACAGCACCAUAAAGGCAAAGUACAUCAGUAGGCCUAAAAGCAGCCACCCCCUAAGAAAGCGUUAAAGCUCGAAUAUAUACCACCCCUUAAAUCCCGACAUAAACUCUUGCCCCCCUAAUCCUACUAAGCCGCCCCAUGCCUCCAUGGGAGUGACCCUGCUAAAAUGAGUAAUAAGAGACUCCAAAUCUCUCCUUGUACAAGUGUAAAUCGAAACGGACCCCCCACCGAAACUUAACGAACCCAAACAAAGAGGGCACCGAACAACAAAUAAACCCCUAGAAAACCAUUCAAACUCUUACCGUUAAUCCCACACUGGUGUACUUUUAAGGAAAGACUAAAAGAAAAAGAAGGAACUCGGCAAAUAUACCCUACUAGGCCUCGCCUGUUUACCAAAAACAUCGCCUCUUGCUUUACUAACAUAAGAGGUCUCGCCUGCCCAGUGACUCAUGAGUUCAACGGCCGCGGUAUUUUAACCGUGCAAAGGUAGCGUAAUCACUUGUUUUUUAAAUGAAGACCUGUAUGAAUGGCAUAACGAGGGCUUAACUGUCUCCUUUUUCCAGUCAAUGAAAUUGAUCCUCCCGUGCAGAAGCGGGAAUUCACACAUAAGACGAGAAGACCCUAUGAAGCUUUAGACACCAGAACAGCCCAGAUCAAAAACUUUCCAUAAAAAGACUAAACCAACUGGCCCCUUUUCUAAUGUCUUUGGUUGGGGCGACCAUGGAGAAUCAUAAAGCCUCCACGCGGAAUGGGAUCAAACCUUUCUACAACCAAGAAUUACAAUUCUAAGUAUCAGAACUUCUGACCUCUCGUGAUCCGGCCAAAGCCGAUCAACGGACCGAGUUACUCUAGGGAUAACAGCGCAAUCUCCUUCAAGAGCCCCUAUCGACAAGGAGGUUUACGACCUCGAUGUUGGAUCAGGACAUCCUAAUGGCGCAGCCGUUAUUAAGGGUUCGUUUGUUCAACGAUUAAUAGUCCUACGUGAUCUGAGUUCAGACCGGAGUAAUCCAGGUCAGUUUCUAUCUAUGAUAUGACUUUUUCUAGUACGAAAGGACCGAAAAAAAGGGGCCCAUGCUCAAAGUACGCCUCAGCCUCACCUAAUGAAAACAACUAAAGUAGGUAACAGGCCAUAACCUUAAUGUCAAAAAAAGACAA
rnacentral:rRNA from 1 species